UGCCUUAGUAACUGCGAGUGAAGCGGCAAGAGCUCAAAUUUGAAAUCUGACGCCAUCCGGCGUCCGAGUUGUAAUUUGGAGGGACCUAUUCGGUGGUGGCGCCGUCCUAAGUUCCUUGGAACAGGACGUCAUAGAGGGUGAGAAUCCCGUGCCAGGAUGGCUGCCCAUCACCUUGUGAAUUGUCUCCGACGAGUCGAGUUGUUUGGGAAUGCAGCUCAAAAUGGGUGGUAAAUUUCAUCUAAAGCUAAAUAUUGGCGAGAGACCGAUAGCGCACAAGUAGAGUGAUCGAAAGAUGAAAAGCACUUUGAAAAGAGAGUUAAAAAGUACGUGAAAUUGUUGAAAGGGAAGCGCUUGCGACCAGACUCGAUCUUUGGCGAUCAGCCGGGCCUCUCCGGCCUGGUGCACUUGCCUCUGAUUGGGCCAGCAUCGGUUCCGAGGGUGGGAUAAAAGGUCGGGGAAUGUGGCUUCCCUCGGGGAGUGUUAUAGACCCGAUCAUAAUGCCACCAUUUGGGACCGAGGACCGCGCUUCGGCUAGGAUGCUGGCGUAAUGGUCUUAAGCGACCCGUCUUGAAACACGGACCAAGGAGUCUAACAUCUAUGCGAGUGUUCGGGUGGAAAACCCUUGCGCGUAAUGAAAGUGAACGGAGGUGUGAACCCGCAAGGGUGCAACAUCGACCGGUCCUGAUGUCUUCGGAAGGAUCUGAGUAAGAGCAUAGCUGUUGGGACCCGAAAGAUGGUGAACUAUGCCUGAAUAGGGUGAAGCCAGAGGAAACUCUGGUGGAGGCUCGCAGCGGUUCUGACGUGCAAAUCGAUCGUCAAAUUUGGGUAUAGGGGCGAAAGACUAAUCGAACCAUCUAGUAGCUGGUUCUGC
rnacentral:rRNA from 1 species